AUGAGGGCCAAGUGGUCCAGGUGGAUGACCAAGUACUCGAAGCGCUACUCUGGCCCCGAGGAGAAGGAGAAGAGGUUCCAGAUCUUCAAGCAGAACACCAACUCCAUCGGCGCUUUUGCCAGCCAGACCACAGUGAAUGCCGUUGUCGGCGGAUUCAGGCCCCAGACCAUCACCACGGUCACCGUCGGCAUGAACAGGUUCGGCGACCUCAACCCCAGCGAGGUCGUCGAGCAGUUCACUGGGUCCAACAACACUGGCUUCAUCCCAGAAGCUCCCACCUACCUCCCCUAUGAGGACUCCCGGAAGUCGUGCUGCGUCGACUGGCGCUCCCAUGGCGCCGUCACCGGCGUCAAGUUUCAGGGCUCUUGCUUGUCAUGCUGGGCAUUCGCGGCGGUGGCGGCCAUCGAGGGCAUGAACAAGAUCAGGACCGGUGAGCUGGUGUCGCUCUCGGAGCAGCAGCUUGUGGACUGCGACACCGGAAGCAGCAGUUGCAGUGGUGGCCGCUCCGACACCGCAUUGGGCCUCUUGGCAUCCCACGGUGGCAUCACAUCGGAGGAGAGGUACCCGUACAGCGGCUAUUCGGGCAGCUGCGACGUGGACAAGCUGCUCUUCGACCACCAGGCGUCCGUCACGGGGUUCAAGUCCGUGCCGCCCAACGACGAGCGGCAGCUAGCGCUGGCCGUGGCGCAGCAGCCUGUGAUGGUGUACAUAGACGCCAGCGCGUGGGAUUUCCAGUUCUACUCCAGCAGCAUCUACAAAGGCCCCUGCUCUGCUGAGGCCGGGAGGGUGAACCACGCCGUGACCAUCGUCGGCUACUGCGAGAAGUUCGGUGAGAAGUUUUGGAUAGCCAAGAACUCGUGGAGCAACGACUGGGGCGACCAGGGAUACAUCUACCUCGCCAAGGACGUCGACUGGCCCACGGGCACCUGUGGCCUCGCCACCUCGCCCUUCUACCCAACAGCUUGA
rnacentral:rRNA from 1 species